GGCGGAGGAAGCUCAUCAGCGGGGCCACGCGCUGAGUGCUCGUCACUCCCCGGCCCCUGGGAAGGUCUGAGACUGGGCCCUCUCCCCCCGCGGUGAGUUCCCAGAGAGCAGGGCUCCGCGCGCAGGCAGACUGGGCAGGAGAGGCCCGCACCCCCAUGGCGGGCGGAUGCCCCCCUCGCCGGAGCUUGGAACAGACUCAAGGCCGGCGGCACGAGUUCAAUGGCUGAGGUGAGGCACGCGCCUCAUAGCCCAAUUCAGACUACUCUCCCCCGCC
rnacentral:RNase_P_RNA from 1 species